CUAAAAGCUAGAAGUUUAGGAGGAGGAUAAAGUCAUUAAAUAUUAACUGGUUUAUAAUUAACUUAUUAGGAAAGUAAUUUCUCUUCUUCACUAUAAGCCUACACUAUGUAUCACACUAAGGUUCAUGACAGCGCUGUCUAUAUAAGCCUACACUAUGUAUCACACUAAGGUUCAUGACAGCGCUGUCUAAUUAAAACUGAAAUGUAAGGAGUAAAAUGAGGAAGUGAUCAUAGGGUGAGAUCAGCUGGGACCAGCAGACAGACUGGUGGAGCAGCUUUACAGGGAGGCUGGGACCAGCAGAGAGACUGGUGGAGCAGCUUUACAGGGAGGCUGGGACCAGCAGAGAGACUGGUGGAGCAGCUUUACAGGGAGGCUGGGACCAGCAGAGAGACUGGUGGAGCAGCUUUACAGGGAGGCUGGGACCAGCAGAGAGACUGGUGGAGCAGCUUUACAGGGAGGCUGGGACCAGCAGAGAGACUGGUGGAGCAGCUUUACAGGGAGGCUGGGACCAGCAGAGAGACUGGUGGAGCAGCUUUACAGGGAGGCUGGGAGGCCUGCAGAAGAACAAAGUGCAACGAACUCAACCAUUUCCUACACACUACAAAUAAAUAAAGGAUGAACAACAAUUCAUCCGUCAAAUGACCUCGGACAGAAAAUCUAGCUGCUGCAUUUAAUACUUCUGAACUCAGGGUUAAACUGGGUUUAAAAGUCUCCGAUUUAGGCUGGGUUUAACAGUCUCUGGGUGUUGUUAGGCUGGGUUUAACAGUCUCUGGGUGUUGUUAGGCUGGGUUUAACAGUCUCUGGGUGUUGUUAGGCUGGGUUUAACAGUCUCUGUGUGUUGUUAGGCUGGGUUUAACAGUCUCUGGGUGUUGUAAGGCUGGGUUUAACAGUCUCUGGGUGUUGUUAGGCUGGGUUUAACAGUCUCUGGGAGUUGUAAGGCUGGGUUUAACAGUCUCUGGGUGUUGUUAGGCUGGGUUUAAGAGUCUCUGGGUGUUGUUAGGCUGGGUUUAACAGUCUCUGGGUGUUGUUAGGCUGGGUUUAACAGUCUCUGGGUGUUGUUAGGCUGGGUUUAAGAGUCUCUGGGUUAGGGCUGCCUUGGCAUAGGCCCAGGACAGUGAUCUAUAGUAAUCUGGGUUUCUGCAGACUAAAGCUACUUCUCAGAAGCCCUUCGCCUAGUGCUUAGUCAGUCGCUUUCUUUACCAUUACACUGAUUCGCACAAGCCAGUGAGUGUGCGUGUGCGUGCGCUCACAUGGAUAAUUGUGUGUGAUCAGGCACUUUUUCUACGUUUGUAAAGGAAGUAACCAACUCAGCACUAUAGUUGUGUAGUGUGUAGUCUAUAUGAUUCACUCAUUAUAUUAAAAUCUAUGCAGCGGGCCACAAAGGAACACACUGAAACACCGCAGUACCCCCACACUUCUCACACACCGCACACCGUUUGUGUAGCCACACACCACACCGUGUGUGUAACCUCCUAUCACACACGUUAGACCAGACCCAGCGGACCCUCCGUCCAGACGUUAGACCAGACCCAGCGGACCCUCCGUCCCCAGCGGGUCUUAAGGUCCCUCUCAGAGCUGCGCUGCCUGCGGGCGGCUGGUUCUGCUGAAGCGUGAGCGGGGGGAGCUGGUCCACUCCGCAGCAGAGCUCCGCAGUCCUGGGUCCGAGUCAAGAGCUGAGCAAGAGGGGGGGCAGUGAGGAAACCUCUCGUCUCUGCCUCUUCACAUUGCUUCCCUUUAGGACUGCAGUCACCACACACACACACACACACACAGUCACCACACACACACACACACACACACACACACACACACACACACAGUCACCACACACACACACACACAGCACAGAUCUAACACACACACACACACACACACAGACACACACACACAGCACAGACAGACCACCAGAGAGUCAGACACACACAUUCAUAAACACAUACUUAGACACACCGACAAGCCACACAUACACACACACAAACACACACACACACACACACAAACAUACAAAGAUGGACUAACAGACAGACCCACAUACACACAGAAGCACAAACUGACACGUACACACACACACAUGAACACAAGCGCACACGCACACAUACACACACAAGAGCACACGCUGAUGGACGCACCAACAGACACAUACACACAGAAGCGCCCCAGGGAGGCGGGACUAGAGAGCCCGCCUCUUCCUGCCCCGUGGGGAACCCUAACCCUGGUGACCCCUCUCCCUGUACUGGUGACCCCUCUCCCUGUACUGGUGACCCCUCCCUGUACUGGUGACCUCUCUCCCUGUACUGGUGACCUCUCUCUCUGUACUGGUGACCCC
ensembl:lncRNA